AAAAACUCCGGUGGUGUGAGAUGGAUCCGCGUCUGAUUAGCCAGUUGGCGGGGUAACGGCCCACCAAAGCGACGAUCAGUAGCCGGCCUGAGAGGGUGACCGGCCACAUUGGGACUGAGACACGGCCCAAACUCCUACGGGAGGCAGCAGUGGGGAAUAUUGCACAAUGGGCGAAAGCCUGAUGCAGCGACGCCGCGUGAGUGAAGAAGUAUUUCGGUAUGUAAAGCUCUAUCAGCAGGGAAGAAAAUGACGGUACCUGACUAAGAAGCCCCGGCUAACUACGUGCCAGCAGCCGCGGUAAUACGUAGGGGGCAAGCGUUAUCCGGAUUUACUGGGUGUAAAGGGAGCGUAGACGGCGAAGCAAGUCUGAAGUGAAAACCCAGGGCUCAACCCUGGGACUGCUUUGGAAACUGUUUUGCUAGAGUGUCGGAGAGGUAAGUGGAAUUCCUAGUGUAGCGGUGAAAUGCGUAGAUAUUAGGAGGAACACCAGUGGCGAAGGCGGCUUACUGGACGAUAACUGACGUUGAGGCUCGAAAGCGUGGGGAGCAAACAGGAUUAGAUACCCUGGUAGUCCACGCCGUAAACGAAGAAUGCUAGGUGUUGGGGGGCAAAGCCCUUCG
rnacentral:rRNA from 1 species